UGGGGAAUUUUGGACAAUGGGCGCAAGCCUGAUCCAGCAAUGCCGCGUGCAGGAUGAAAGCCUUCGGGUUGUAAACUGCUUUUGUACGGAGCGAAAAGGUCUGCCCUAAUACGGUGGGCUAAUGACGGUACCUGAAGAAUAAGCACCGGCUAACUACGUGCCAGCAGCCGCGGUAAUACGUAGGGUGCAAGCGUUAAUCGGAAUUACUGGGCGUAAAGCGUGCGCAGGCGGUUAUGCAAGACAGAGGUGAAAUCCCCGGGCUCAACCUGGGAACUGCCUUUGUGACUGCAUAGCUAGAGUACGGCAGAGGGGGAUGGAAUUCCGCGUGUAGCAGUGAAAUGCGUAGAUAUGCGGAGGAACACCGAUGGCGAAGGCAAUCCCCUGGGCCUGUACUGACGCUCAUGCACGAAAGCGUGGGGAGCAAACA
rnacentral:rRNA from 1 species